UCAUGUUAUUUUCAUGUAAGUUUGGUGUGAGAUUCUUUUGUUGUUUUCUUUGAUAAUCUUUUUGAGUCUCCUUAUAUCUAACAGAUGAUCUUUUUGGUACGGUUUGUUUGGCUUGUCUUAUCCUGAUUCGGAUCGGGUGACGUGACGUUGAUUCUUAGAACUGAGAUUUGAGUAUCCAGGCCUUGUCUUGUCGUCGAGAAAACAACAUCUGAUCAACUCUUGUUGAUGUAAUCAUAUCAUCCCUCGAUGAUUCACAAUCAACUCUCGUUGAUCUGAUCCAGUCAACUCUAGUUGGUUUGAUCCCUUCAUCAUCUAUUGAUGAUCCUUCCAUCAACUCUUGUUGAUCCAAGUAUCAACUCUCGUUGAUCUAAGUAUCAUCUCUGGAUGAUCCUCCCAUCAACCCUCGUUGAUCUAAGUAUUAACCCUCGUUGAUCUAAGAAUCAUCUCUGGAUGAUCCUUCCAUCAUCUCUUGAUGAUCCUCCCAUCAACACUCGUUGAUCCAUCAUCUCUUGAUGAUCCUCCCAUCAACACUCGUUGAUCCUUCUAUCAUCUCUUGAUGAUCCUCCCAUCAACACUCGUUGAUCCUUCUAUCAUCUCUUGAUGAUCCUCCCAUCAACACUCGUUGAUCCUUUCAUCAUCUCUUGAUGAUCCUCCCAUCAACACUCGUUGAUCCAAGUAUCAUCUCUUGAUGAUCCUCCCAUCAACCCUCGUUGAUCCAAGUAUCAACCCUCGUUGAUAAAGAAAACAACAGAUUUAACCGUUUCAGAGGUGUCUGUUUGGGAUUUCAAAUUGAUAAGAAACAGAUGUACAAGUGGGGAAUAAGGAGGAGAUGUAUCUGACCAUUGGCAGGCUUCUUGCAUACCACAAAGAGGAUCAAUUUGGAAGUAUCAACUUGUGCUUACUUUAAUAUGCGUCUUGCAUAUGAGCCAUUAGUGCAAACCAAGAAUAGAGUCACAGACUUUAAUAUGCUUCUUGCAUGUGCAUCAUCUAAGAGAAUCACAAACCAGACAUUGAGAUUUUACUGACGAAACAAAGGUACUGAUUAUGUUUCAUCAACCAGUGAGAGGUUGAAUGUAAGACCUGAAGAGUUGUAAAGAGUUUGGUCCCUGUAUCUUGUAAUGAUAAUUCUUUAAUGGAUUAGUCUUUUGUUUGUGAUAUGAAGAUCUUUGUGGAUGGGAUCUGUCCUAAUUGCUUUUGCAUAAUAUUUUGGAAUACACACGAGUUAUUAGGAAAGGUAAUCUACCAGCUCAAAAGUGGAAGAUCAGCAAAGUCUUUUAUGUCUUAUCAAGAGCAGCAAAGUCGAGAUAUAUAAUUUGUUUUGUAUCGUGUAUUCUUGUGGGUAAUGAGUGAGUCUGGCACUCAAUAAUCAAUCAGUACA